AUUGAACGCUGGCGGCAGGCCUAACACAUGCAAGUCGAACGGUAGCACAGAGAGCUUGCUCUCGGGUGACGAGUGGCGGACGGGUGAGUAACGUCUGGGAAACUGCCCGAUGGAGGGGGAUAACUACUGGAAACGGUAGCUAAUACCGCAUAACGUCGCAAGACCAAAGUGGGGGACCUUCGGGCCUCACACCAUCGGAUGUGCCCAGAUGGGAUUAGCUAGUAGGUGGGGUAAUGGCUCACCUAGGCGACGAUCCCUAGCUGGUUUGAGAGGAUGACCAGCCACACUGGAACUGAGACACGGUCCAGACUCCUACGGGAGGAAGCAGUGGGGAAUAUUGCACAAUGGGCGCAAGCCUGAUGCAGCCAUGCCGCGUGUAUGAAGAAGGCCUUCGGGUUGUAAAGUACUUUCAGCGGGGAGGAAGGCGGUGAAGUAAAUAACUUCACCGAUUGACGUUACCCGCAGAAGAAGCACCGGCUAACUCCGUGCCAGCCGCCGCAGUAA
rnacentral:rRNA from 1 species